GUUCAGGCAGCUCAGCUGGUUAGAUCAAAGGACUGAAAUCCUUGUGUUAAUGGUUCGAAUCCACUUCUUAGCA
rnacentral:tRNA from 1 species